rnacentral:rRNA from 1 species
GCCAGGGAGCAUACUUCUUUGAGCAUCGUUUCUACCAACUCAAACUGAGCCCUUUUGGGUGAAAUGUUUUGGAUAAUGAGAUUCUCAUUCGAAAGACUGAGUAUCUUUAAGAAGCGUGAGUUCUCUAACAACUCCUGGUAUCAAAAAAAUCGUUUUUCUUUUUCUUCGCGAGGAGAGAUCGAGAAGGGGUUUUUGCCUUUUAAUUAGGUUUCGGAUACUGGUGAUGUGGAUAAUCUUUUUGUCUAAUACAUCGCCUCAUGUGUCUGCGACUGGAUUGAAAUGGUCAAGAUCAUAUAGGUAAACCUGAGACUCAAUAGAAAAUUAAUUCAUUAAAAAUGUUUUUUUGAAUUAGAUCUCAAAUGAAGCAAGAUAACCCGCUGAACUUAAGCAUAUUAUUAAGCGGAGGAAAAGAAACUAACAAGGAUGCCCUCAGUAACGGCGAGUGAAGCGGGCAAAGCUCAACCUGAAAAUCGGAUUCCCAAGCGGGAUUUCGAAUUGUGGGCUACAGACACAUGAUCAGCGUGUUACCCCGGUAUAAGUGAGUCUUAUUGGAAUACUACAUCAGAGAGGGUGAAAAUCCCGUCUGUGACCUGGGAGCUAGCCGCGUACGAUCUGUGUU